AUUGAACGCUGGCGGCAGGCUUAACACAUGCAAGUCGAACGAUGAUUAUCUAGCUUGCUAGAUAUGAUUAGUGGCGGACGGGUGAGUAACAUUUAGGAAUCUGCCUAGUAGUGGGGGAUAGCUCGGGGAAACUCGAAUUAAUACCGCAUACGACCUACGGGUGAAAGGGGGCGCAAGCUCUUGCUAUUAGAUGAGCCUAAAUCAGAUUAGCUAGUUGGUGGGGUAAAGGCCCACCAAGGCGACGAUCUGUAACUGGUCUGAGAGGAUGAUCAGUCACACCGGAACUGAGACACGGUCCGGACUCCUACGGGAGGCAGCAGUGGGGAAUAUUGGACAAUGGGGGCAACCCUGAUCCAGCCAUGCCGCGUGUGUGAAGAAGGCCUUUUGGUUGUAAAGCACUUUAAGCAGGGAGGAGAGGCUAAUGGUUAAUACCCAUUAGAUUAGACGUUACCUGCAGAAUAAGCACCGGCUAACUCUGUGCCAGCAGCCGCGGUAAUACAGAGGGUGCGAGCGUUAAUCGGAAUUACUGGGCGUAAAGCGAGUGUAGGUGGCUCAUUAAGUCACAUGUGAAAUCCCCGGGCUUAACCUGGGAACUGCAUGUGAUACUGGUGGUGCUAGAAUAUGUGAGAGGGAAGUAGAAUUCCAGGUGUAGCGGUGAAAUGCGUAGAGAUCUGGAGGAAUACCGAUGGCGAAGGCAGCUUCCUGGCAUAAUAUUGACACUGAGAUUCGAAAGCGUGGGUAGCAAACAGGAUUAGAUACCCUGGUAGUCCACGCCGUAAACGAUGUCUACUAGCCGUUGGGGUCCUUGAGACUUUAGUGGCGCAGUUAACGCGAUAAGUAGACCGCCUGGGGAGUACGGCCGCAAGGUUAAAACUCAAAUGAAUUGACGGGGGCCCGCACAAGCGGUGGAGCAUGUGGUUUGAUUCGAUGCAACGCGAAGAACCUUACCUGGUCUUGACAUAGUGAGAAUCCUGCAGAGAUGCGGGAGUGCCUUCGGGAAUUCACAUACAGGUGCUGCAUGGCUGUCGUCAGCUCGUGUCGUGAGAUGUUGGGUUAAGUCCCGCAACGAGCGCAACCCUUUUCCUUAUUUGCCAGCGGGUUAAGCCGGGAACUUUAAGGAUACUGCCAGUGACAAACUGGAGGAAGGCGGGGACGACGUCAAGUCAUCAUGGCCCUUACGACCAGGGCUACACACGUGCUACAAUGGUAGGUACAGAGGGUUGCUACACAGCGAUGUGAUGCUAAUCUCAAAAAGCCUAUCGUAGUCCGGAUUGGAGUCUGCAACUCGACUCCAUGAAGUCGGAAUCGCUAGUAAUCGCAGAUCAGAAUGCUGCGGUGAAUACGUUCCCGGGCCU
rnacentral:rRNA from 1 species